rnacentral:miRNA from 1 species
CCUGGGCGGAGACUACUUUUUAAAAGGUCACAAUCAACAUUCAUUGCUGUCGGUGGGUUAACUGUGUGGACAAGCUCACUGAACAAUGAAUGCAACUGUGGCCCCGCAU